AAAUGAUGAUAACACCCAAAAUAGCUGGAAUUACCUGCAGAUUGUGUGCUGGUAAAUCUACCAUUUUCUGAGG